rnacentral:rRNA from 1 species
UACAGAGGUCCCGAGCGUUGUUCGGAUUCACUGGGCGUAAAGGGUGCGCAGGUGGGUUUGCAAGUUCGAUGUGAAAGCCCCGGGCUUAACCCGGGAAUGGCAUUGAAUACUGCAGAUCUGGAGGAUCGGAGGGGGGACUGGAAUUCUUGGUGUAGCAGUGAAAUGCGUAGAUAUCAAGAGGAACACCAGUGGCGAAGGCGAGUCCCUGGACGAUACCUGACACUGAGGCACGAAAGCUAGGGGAGCAAACAGG